GGGUCACGACUCAUUCGGUUGCAUAUCAACACUUCUGGUCAUGAGAUGACGAGGAAGAGCUGUUACAUGUUGGUCCUGGGAUCGAGAUGCUGAACCUCUUCUGCUCCUCAGACCUGCUUGAUCCAUCCUGGUGCCCUGUGUCUGGUUGGAGUCUCAGCACAUCACUCCUGUGGAGGACAGCCCCAUGAGGACAGUUGAAAGUCACAUGUGGAGGAUGCUCUGGACACUUACAGUAUAGCUUUCUAACUGUAGCUAACCACCUGUGUUUUCUUUCCCUCCCCCCCACCCCAAAUCUGUCCCUCUGAGUUACAUGGAGUCAACAGGAAAUCUUUUGGUGGAGAGGGUGGAGACCUCGACUGGCUAUCGUAGCCUGCAGGGAAUCGGCCGUCAGACAUUCUGUCGCAUGUUCCAGAGCCGGUGAAAUGUAACUGAAUUGUCUUGGCCAGCCCUAAGGGUCCCAUCUGCAUCUCAUCAUUGCUGAGGAGUGUGCUCCCAUCACCCAAUCAAGCAUCCAGCCAGAACAGGUCAUGAUAUAUUUUUUACCAUAUUAACAUGCCAUUGUUGUGUGUUAUGCCUGAUGUAAAGACUCUCGUCUCUGCGAGCCUACCACACAGAUUUAAUACUUGUCAUUUUUAGGGCAUACCUAACAACCUGUGUUUUCUUUCUCUCUCUCCCCCCCCCCCCCCAAUCUGUCCCUCUGAGUUACAUGUUGAUCCUGGGAUUGAGAUGCUGGCCUCUUCUGCCCCUCGGACCUGCUUGAUCCAUCCUGGUGCCCUGUGUCUGGUCGGAGUUUUAUCGCCCCACUCCUAUGAAGGACGGCCCCAUGAGGACAGUUGAGGGUUAUACCUGUUAAAACUGUUAAUAUUAUAGUCAGGCUGUCUGUUGUUGCCCAAAUGAGGAUGGGUUCCCUUUUGAGUCUGGUUCCUCUCGAGGUUUCUUCCUCAUGUCGUCUGAGGGAGUUUUUCCUUGCCACCGUCGCCACAGGCUUGCUCAUUGGGGAUAGAUUAGGGAUAAAAUUAGCUCAUGUUUUAAGUCGUUCAAAUUCUGUAAAGCUGCUUUGCGACAAUGUUUAUUGUUAAAAGCGCUAUACAAAUAAACUUGAUUUUAUUUGAUUUACAGUAAUGCUUUUAUGGCUGAGGACUACAAUUGAGUUGAUAACUUUAGGACUGCAGUCGUCAUGAACAGUUUUGCACUCAAGUUUCCAUCAAUGAAGAGUUUACAACAUCAACGAAACUGACUUCAUGUUAAAACUGUUAAUGUUAUAGUCAGGCUGUCUGUUGUUGCCCAAAUGAGGAUGGGUUCCCUUUUGAGUCUGGUUCCUCUCGAGGUUUCUUCCUCAUGUCGUCUGAGGGAGUUUUUCCUUGCCACCAUCGCCACAGGCUUCAUCAUUGGGGAUAGAUUAGGGAUAAAAUUAGCUCAUGUUUUAAGUCGUUCAAAUUCUGUAAAGCUGCUUUGUGACAAUGUUUUUUGUUAAAAGCACUGUACAAAUAAACUUGACUUGACUUCACAUGUUUUUGUUAAAAAUAAAUAUUUAUUGAUGAGA